GUUCUUAUAGUGUAUAAUACUGCACAUUAGAUUUUCAAUUUUUUAGAACACGUAAUGUGUUGAGAAUA
rnacentral:tRNA from 1 species